CCCCUGGUGGCAGCGGCAGCGCAGUUCGCGCCUGUGGCCAGAGGCGGGGCGGAAGCGCGGCUAGGCGGAUCCCGCACGGUCGCCGUCGGCCUGCGCUGCUCGGAGCUGCCGGAGCACCCACGCUGAGCCGCGCCCGCCGCAGCCACCUAGAAGAAGCCCAGCCUGGCCCUGGCACGCGGUGAACCUUAAUCGAUUCACCUCUCCAUGGGGUGAGAAACAGAGAGAUCAUAUCACCUGCCAACGUAGCCCAGGGAAAGAAAAGCUGAGUCUGCAAACAGGGCCAGCAGAAGGUUCGAACUGCUGCCCCUGUUCUGUUACUCUCUCCACCCAGAGCCCCAGUGACAAAAAGCAACAGAAGCUGGGCUUAACUAUACCAGAAUUCACGGCAGGGCGAUGUCAGCCAUGUUUCCUGAGCCUAUCAACCAGUGCCACCAGCAUCACCACCAAUAUCUACCUGUAUUCACAGAUUUUAGUGAAGAAAUCCUACAGUAAAAGAUUUUGAAAAAUGACUUUCCCCAAUGUAUCUCUUGAAUAAAUACCAACAUUCAUAUGCCUUA